UGGGCGUUACUCAUCUGGCUGAUGAGGGCAGGUUGUGACCCUGUGAAGGCGGGUUCGAUUCCCGUACGCCCAA
rnacentral:tRNA from 2 species